rnacentral:piRNA from 1 species
UCCCGUUGCAGGUGUUUGUGUGAUC